CUCAGAGGCAGAGCUCUGGAGUCUCACCAUGGCCUGGACCUCUCUCCUGCUCCCCCUCCUCACUCUCUGCACAGGUUUUGUGGCCUCUGAUGAGCUGACACAGCCGCACUCGGUGUCAGUGUCCCCAGGACAGACGGCCAAGAUCACCUGCUCUGGAGAUUCACUGGCGAAAAAAUAUGCUUCCUGGCUCCAGCAGAAACCAGGCCAAUCCCCUGUGCUGGUGAUCUAUAAAGAUAGUGAGCGGCCCUCAGGGAUCCCUGAGAGGUUCUCUGGGUCCAGCUCAGGGACAACAGUCACCUUGACCAUCACUGGGGCUCAGGUUGAAGAUGAAGCUGACUAUUACUGUCAGUCACGGGACAGCAGUGGUACUCAUCCCACAGUGACACAGGCAGAUGGGGAAGCUCUGUGUCCUCUCAGGGUGCUCAGGGCCAUGGUGCAGACAGUCCUCAGCUGCUGA